CAUAACCAGUUACCUCAUGGGCCAGAUGCCAGGCCUUCUCUGUCAUGAAGGACAGCGACCUCAAACCGUGAGCCAAAGUUAGCUUUUCUCCUCUAAGCUCCUCUGCACCACAGAUUUGGUCACAGAGGCAAGAAAAAUAACCAGUUCAACCAUACACAACAACUCUGCAAACCGAAAUAAGGUUCUUCCGGAUGAUUCUCUCAGGGAAGCCACCUCGACAAAGGCUAGAAGGCCGUUUCUGAGGCAGAAGGCAUGCCCUGGCGGCUUCAAAAAGAAAAGGAAUGCUUCGAGGGUCUUGACCUGACCCGAACCAUGAACCCCAACUCAACUGAACCACAUUGAUUUGCAAAGCUGCCUGCUGAAAUUGAACCCACAUAGUAAUUGGAGCUGAAAUGCACACUGAGAUGUCUUCGAAAACUGGACUUGGCCUGAUGUUAUUUUGAAAGGUAAUUAAGGUUUGUAAGAAUGACUCUGACGGGUCGGUCAUCAGAGGUCUGCACGUAACAUGAGUCGAAGCACAUGCAGUGUGACCAAAAUAAUUAAAGAAGAGAAAAACCAC